rnacentral:rRNA from 1 species
UACGGGGGGGGGCAAGCGUUGUUCGGAAUUACUGGGCGUAAAGGGUUCGUAGGUGGCCCGCUAAGUCACACGUGAAAUCCCUCAGCUUAACUGGGGAACUGCGUCUGAUACUGGUUGGCUUGAGUGCAGGAGAGGAACGCGGAAUUCCAGGUGUAGCGAUGAAAUGCGUAGAUAUCAGGAGGAACACCGGUGGCGAAGGCGGGUCUCUGGGCCGAUACUGACGCUGAGGAGCGAAAGCGUGGGGAGCGAACAGG